rnacentral:rRNA from 1 species
UACGGAGGGCGCAAGCGUUGUUCGGAAUUACUGGGCGUAAAGCGCGUGUAGGCGGCCAGGUAAGUCGGAUGUGAAAGCCCGGGGCCCAACCCCCGGAACUGCACCCGAUACUGCCUGGCUGGAGUCCCGGAGAGGAUGGCGGAAUUUCCGGUGUAGAGGUGAAAUUCGUAGAUAUCGGAAGGAACACCAGUGGCGAAGGCGGCCAUCUGGACGGUGACUGACGCUGAGACGCGAAAGCGUGGGGAGCAAACAGGG